AUUGAACGCUGGCGGCAUGCUUUACACAUGCAAGUCGAACGGUAACAGGUUAAGCUGACGAGUGGCGAACGGGUGAGUAAUGCAUCGGAACGUGCCCGAUCGUGGGGGAUAACGCAGCGAAAGCUGCGCUAAUACCGCAUACGAUCUGAGGAUGAAAGCGGGGGACCGUAAGGCCUCGCGCGAUCGGAGCGGCCGAUGUCAGAUUAGGUAGUUGGUGGGGUAAAGGCUCGCCAAGCCAACGAUCUGUAGCUGGUCUGAGAGGACGACCAGCCACACUGGGACUAGGACACGGCCCAGACUCCUACGGGAGGCAGCAGUGGGGAAUUUUGGACAAUGGGCGAAAGCCUGAUCCAGCAAUGCCGCGUGCAGGAAGAAGGCCUUCGGGUUGUAAACUGCUUUUGUACGGAGCGAAAAGGCUCUCUCUAAUACAGGGGGCUCAUGACGGUACCGUAAGAAUAAGCACCGGCUAACUACGUGCCAGCCGCCGCAGUAA
rnacentral:rRNA from 1 species